UGUUGAAGGUGUGUAUGACAAG
rnacentral:miRNA from 1 species